UAAUACCAGCGACCCGAGUGGUCGGGACGUUUAUUGGGCCGUAAAGCAUCCGUAGCCGGUUCUACAAGUCUUCCGUUAAAUCCGACCUGCCGUUAACAGAACUGGGCUGUACGGAAGAUACUAUAGAGCUAGGAGGCGGGAGAGGCAAGCGGUACUCGAUGGGUAGGGUAAAUCCGUUGAUCCAUUGAAGACACCAGUGGCGAAGGCGG
rnacentral:rRNA from 1 species